rnacentral:rRNA from 1 species
AUUGAACGCUGGCGGCAUGCUUUACACAUGCAAGUCGAACGGCAGCGCGGGCUUCGGCCUGGCGGCGAGUGGCGAACGGGUGAGUAAUACAUCGGAACGUGCCCAGUAGUGGGGGAUAGCUCGGCGAAAGCCGGAUUAGUACCGCAUACGACCUGAGGGUGAAAGCGGGGGAUCUUCGGACCUCGCGCUAUUGGAGCGGCCGAUGGCAGAUUAGCUAGUUGGUGGGGUAAAGGCCUACCAAGGCGACGAUCUGUAGCUGGUCUGAGAGGACGACCAGCCACACUGGGACUGAGACACGGCCCAGACUCCUACGGGAGGCAGCAGUGGGGAAUUUUGGACAAUGGGCGAAAGCCUGAUCCAGCAAUGCCGCGUGUGUGAUGAAGGCCUUCGGGUUGUAAAGCACUUUUGGCGGGAACGAAAAGGACUGUGCCAAUACCACGGUUCGAUGACGGUACCCGCAGAAUAAGCACCGGCUAACUACGUG